rnacentral:rRNA from 1 species
UGAGUAACCUGCCCUUGACUCUGGGAUAAGCCUGGGAAACCGGGUCUAAUACUGGAUACGACCUUCUGGCGCAUGCCAUGUUGGUGGAAAGCUUUUGUGGUUUUGGAUGGACUCGCGGCCUAUCAGCUUGUUGGUGGGGUAAUGGCCUACCAAGGCGACGACGGGUAGCCGGCCUGAGAGGGUGACCGGCCACACUGGGACUGAGACACGGCCCAGACUCCUACGGGAGCAG